UACGGAAGGCAGCAGUGGGGAAUAUUGCACAAUGGGCGAAAGCCUGAUGCAGCUAUGCCGCGUGUAUGAAGAAGGCCUUAGGGUUGUAAAGUACUUUCAUCGGGGAGGAAAAACAAAACUAAUAAUUUUAUUUCUUGACGUUACCCGAAAAAGAAGCACCGGCUAACUCCGUGCCAGCAGCCGCGGUAAUACGGAGGGUGCUAGCGUUAAUCAGAAUUACUGGGCGUAAAGAGCACGUAGGUGGUUUUUUUAAGUCAGAUGUGAAAUCCCUGGGCUUAACCUAGGAACUGCAUUUUGAAACUGAAAUACUAGAGUAUCGUAGAGGGAGGUAGAAUUCUAGGUGUAGCGGUGAAAUGCGUAGGUAUCUGGAGGAAUACCUGUGGCGAAAGCGGCCUCCUAAACGAAUACUGACACUGAGGGUGCGAAAGCGUGGGGAGCAAACAGGGAUUAGAUACC
rnacentral:rRNA from 1 species